rnacentral:rRNA from 1 species
UACGGGGGGGGCAAGCGUUGUUCGGAAUUACUGGGCGUAAAGGGCUCGUAGGUGGCCAACUAAGUCAGACGUGAAAUCCCUCGGCUUAACCGGGGAACUGCGUCUGAUACUGGAUGGCUUGAGUUCGGGAGAGGGAUGCGGAAUUCCAGGUGUAGCGGUGAAAUGCGUAGAUAUCUGGAGGAACACCAACGGCGAAGGCAGCUCGCUAGGACGGUACUGACGCUAAGGCGCGAAAGCGUGGGGAGCGAACAGG